UACGGAGGGUGCAAGCGUUAUCCGGAUUCACUGGGUUUAAAGCGUGCGUAGACGGCUAUCUAAGUCGGGUGUGAAAGCCCCGGGCUCAACCUGGGAAUUGCAUUCGAGACUGAAUAGCUAGGGUGCGGUAGAGGGAAGCGGAAUUUCCGGUGUAGCGGUGAAAUGCGUAGAUAUCGGAAGGAACAUCAGUGGCGAAAGCGGCUUCCUGGACCAGCACCGACGUCAGGCACGAAAGCGUGGGGAGCAAACAGG
rnacentral:rRNA from 1 species